UUACAGCUGGAGUGGAGAUGUUAGGACACCUGCGAUGAUAAGCGAAACACUGCAAGGCAAAACAAAGGUCACUCAAGGUUCAGAUUAAGUUGAAAAUUUAAGUAAACCACCCGGUUAUAGUCAAGUCUGGAGGAGGACAUCGUAUUUACUGAAUUAUCGAUGGGGAUGUUUGAACAGCUGUUGAUGAAGGGGCUGCAGAGGCAACAGCACAGAGCUCAGUUCUGUGAUACAGUCCUGCAGACACAGGAUAUCUCAGUGCCUGUCCACAGCUGUGUGCUGUCGGCCUUCAGCCCUCGGCUCUGCGAGUUUCUGUCCACUCUCCCAGCCCUCCCCAACGGGAAGAGUAGAGUAAUCGAGCUCCAGGCUGUCGAGGCCUACACGCUGCUCAGGCUGGUCAGGGUGCUGUACACGGGCACAGUGGAGGGCGAGAGGACAGACCUGCAGAAGGCCGCUGACAAACUGGGCAUCAUGCUCCCUCCGGAGAAGGUGGAGGAAGAGCAGGGAGAGUGGGAAGCAGGAGAGGACAGGGAACCGCUGCAGGACGGGGCCUUCGGGAAGACAAGAGGACCUAAAGAGGGGGGGGGGGAAGAAGGGAACUGAUAGAAGGGAGUGUAAGGAUGCGGAGACGCAGUUCGAUGUGACACAGACUGGCGGAGGAAGACACGCAGCGGAGACGCAGACUCACUCUGACAUCACUUCCUCCCAGUUCAUGUAUGAGAGGCUGAGCUCGACGGAGUUCCAGUCUGACGUGCCUCCGGUUGGCCACAUGAGUCAGUUUCCGUGGGUUACGGACGGCUGCUUUCAAGCGUCUACUGUCGAACACUCUCUCAUGUCCCUCCCUGAUGAUGUCACCGCUGCUGGGGCAAUGUCGUCCACGCUUGAUGACGUCACGGUGUGUCAGCUGUUCAGCCAAUCAGCUAUUGGAGCCCCCGACACCUGCCCCGCCCUCCUCCUCCUGCCUCAAGAGGAGCAGCCAAACGAAACGGAGAGACUUCGCGCGGGGGGUUCCAAAGGCGACGGCGGCGAAGCGGGUUUGGUGGAGGGUUUUGAGCAGUUCGAAGGGAACAUCCCAGAAUUCAUCAGCUACUUCCUGGACUCGGCGGGGCGCGGGAGACGAGGCCGGCGGGCGCUGAGAAGCCCGCGGAGGGCGAGGCGGGCAGAGAAGCGACAGGGUGAGAGAGCCAGGCGACUGAAGGGGGAAACGGACAAAGGGGACGAGGACAGGCAGGCCAUCGAGAAGGUGGAACGGCGUUUCCCGCUGAGAGAGGGAUGCCCCGUGGUCCUCACCUGGAGGGGGGUCGGAGGGGGACGCAUCGGACGGUCCCUGCAUCUGCCGACCAGGAAGAAGACCCGGCCCAGAUCGUGCGUCAGGCAGAACAGUGCGAAAGGGAAAGGGACAGAGCAGAAUCAGGACAAAGUCCCUGACAUCAAAAAGCCGAGAGGGCGACCUCGGGUCCGGCCACCCCCUCUCGUUGCUCGCCUGCCUCCCCCCGACAGUGGCACUUUGACCCCCACCCUUCCCUGCCUGCCCCCGACUCCGUUCAUGCUGCAAACCCUGCCCCUGCCCCCCUCUACUCCACCCAGGUCCUUACUGGAACAACUCCUGUUCGAGCUCAACCAGCCUAGCGGUGCCGGAGAAACAAACACUUCAACUCCCAGAAUGCUCUGCCCGUCUGGAAACAACGCCGAGGCCAGAAGCUCCCAGCAGCAGCAGCAGCAGCAGCAGCAGCCGGAUGGGGAGGUCAGCGACAUGUUGGAUCACCUGCUGCUGUCGCUGGAGCAGCCGUCGAGAAUGCGGCCGUACACCAUCAUCAAGGAUCUGCAGCAGUGCAGCAGAGAGGAGGCGAGAGACGCUGCGCCGGCACACACACACAUGCGCACUCCUCGCCGGAGGGCACCGCGGCUGACGCGCACCAUGCACCUGUCCGCCACCCCGUGGCGCCGCCACUGCGAUCCCGCCGACCGCAAGAUGGAAGGCAGCGGCCAGAAGAGGAUCCUGGCGGAGAUCAGCCUGCGGGCGGAGAUGUUCGAGGAGCGGAGGAUGACCAGGAAUCAGGCCAAACUUUUGCGGAAGUCCGCCACCAGCGAGUGGGCUUCCAGCAGCAGCAUGGGGCCGGACAUUCCCGACCCUAAGCGCCGGCAGCCGGGGAAGAACAUGAAAAUACUGCGACUAAAGUUGCUCGGGAAGCGGAAGAGAGAAGAGGAAGAGGAGGAGGAGGAGGAUGAAGAGGAGGAGGAGGAGGAGGAGGAUGAAGAAGUGUGGGGGAGGGAGAGCGCUGAGACGUCCCCACGGCCCCCUCUGCCCCCCAGGCCUCAGUCCCCGUGCCAAGGCGAACCAGACACAGAGGCGCACCUCAGCCCCUCAACCGCCCCGGCCAAUCGACUCGCUGGACAGCUGGGCAGGACCAGUCCACAGGGGGGCGCUUUGACCCUGUAGGAGCACCCUUAAGUUUGAUGGAGACUGUGCAGUGCACAGGAAAGAAAACGUUCUGUGGCUUAGGUCAAAGGUCAUGACACUCCACCAGAGGUCAAAGGUGGAUCAGCAGGAGUUCAGAUUGAGAUUUUGGGUUCACCAGGAUUCUCCUUCAGACUUUCUGGUGUCCAUUUUAAAAGGACAAUUGGCAUUGAUGCUGGAGUGCCUUGGCCCCAGUAGGCUACAGCA